rnacentral:misc_RNA from 1 species
GUGAGAAUGAGAAGUUAGUUAACAAAUUAAUCUGUAUGGCUGGACAAGGAAUUAAAUUCAGCUCCAGAGCACAUGACAGAAAAUGUCAUAGAACGGGAUAAAGAAAAGUUGCAACCAUGAUUCAUGGGGUCAUUCACCUUACUCAACAAUGGGCCAGUGAUAGUAGCGUAGGCAGAUGGUUUGGUGGUAAGUGUUUGGAUAGAUCAUAGAGUAAGGUCAUAAUACUCUCCUUUAAUGAUGAACAAGAAUUAGACGGUAAGAAAUAUGCAUUAAUAAAUUAACCCUCUAUGAAUAUAGAAUAUAUAACACGUGUGUGG